UCGGGGUCGCGAGUUCGAGUCUCGUUUCCCGCUCCAAAAUUUGAAAAGUGCUGCAAAGCACAGACCACCCAAGCGG
rnacentral:tRNA from 1 species